AAAAUGUCAUGGUCAGCUUUCAUUCAAAACCCCAAUAUGCAUUUUACAGUUUCGGAGGGCAUCAAAGACGCAUAUUAUAGAAGGAAGCAGCUACCCUUAAAAAAGAAAUCUCCCAAAAUUAAGAUUCCGAAAAAUCAUCAUUAAAAAUUCAAUUCAAAUCUAUAAACUAACUAGAAAUAAAUAGAAAGAAGAAGAGAGUUGACACCUCGGCAAAA
rnacentral:misc_RNA from 1 species